rnacentral:rRNA from 1 species
AUCGAACGCUGGCGGCAUGCUUAACACAUGCAAGUCUACCAAGAAUCACUUCGGUGAGGAAUGGUGGCGGACGGGUGAGUAACGCGUAAAUAAUCUGCCCUUUAGACUGGGAUAUCCUUUGGAAACGAAGGUUAAUACCGGAUAUUAUGAGAUGGACGCAUGUUCAACUUAUGAAAGCUAAAUGCACUAGAGGAGGAGUUUGCGUCCCAUUAGCUAGUUGGUGAGGUAAAGGCUCACCAAGGCCACGAUGGGUAGCCGGCCUGAGAGGGUGAACGGCCACAAGGGAACUGAGACACGUUCCUUACUCCUACGGGAGGCAGCAGUGUGGAAUAUUGGACAAUGGACCAAAAGUCUGAUCCAGCAGUUCUGUGUGCACGAUGAAGGUCUUCGGAUUGUAAGGUGCUUUCAGUAGGGAAGAAAAAAAUGACGGUACCUACAGAAGAAGCGACGGCUAAAUAUGUGCCAGCAGCCGCCGUAAGAC